GACGAACGCUGGCGGCGUGCUUAACACAUGCAAGUCGAACGGAAAGGCCCUGCUUGCAGGGUACUCGAGUGGCGAACGGGUGAGUAACACGUGGGUGAGCUGCCCUGCACUUCGGGAUAAGCCUGGGAAACUGGGUCUAAUACCGGAUAGGAGCCAUUUUUAGUGUGAUGGUUGGAAAGUUUUUUCGGUGUAGGAUGAGCUCGCGGCCUAUCAGCUUGUUGGUGGGGUAAUGGCCUACCAAGGCGGCGACGGGUAGCCGGCCUGAGAGGGUGGACGGCCACAUUGGGACUGAGAUACGGCCCAGACUCCUACGGGAGGCAGCAGUGGGGAAUAUUGCACAAUGGGCGCAAGCCUGAUGCAGCGACGCCGCGUGGGGGAUGACGGCCUUCGGGUUGUAAACGCCUUUCGCUAGGGACGAAGCUUUUUGUGACGGUACCUAGAUAAGAAGCACCGGCUAACUACGUG
rnacentral:rRNA from 1 species